rnacentral:rRNA from 1 species
AUGGCUGAGUAUGCAGUUGGGCCGCUGAUCUCCAUGCUGAAGGAUAAGGUGUCCAGCUACCUUCUGCAGCGCUACAAGGUCAUGGAUGGCAUGGAGGAGCAGCGUGAGAUCCUUGAGCGCAAGCUUCCGGCCAUCUUGAACAUCAUUGAAGAUGUGGAGGAGGAAGUAGCUUACCGUUCUGGGGUAAGCGCUUGGCUCAAAGCGCUCAAGAAGGUGGCCUGCAAGGCGAACGAUGUCUUCGACGAGUUCAAGUACGAGGCUCUCCGGCGUGGCGCCAAGGAGAAGGGACACUACAAGAAGCUUGGCUUUGAUAUUGUAAGCCUCUUCCCUGCUCACAACCCCAUUGUGUUUCGUUACAGGAUGGGCAAGAAGUUGUGCAGGAUUGUACGCAUCAUCGAGGUCCUUGUCGAAGAGAUGAAUACCCUUGGAUUCAAACACCUGCAGCCAGCACCACCAUCCAAGCAGUGGCGUAUCACAGAUUCUGUAAUAAUUGACUCCGAGGAGGAUAUUGUUAGUAGGUCUAGAGACGAAGAGAAGAAGAAGAUUGUGAGUAUAUUAAUUGGUCAAGCUAGCGAUGGGAGCGAUCUCAUUGUCCUUCCCAUUGUUGGAAUGGGUGGGCUGGGCAAGACCACCUUCGCUCAGCUUGUCUACAAUGACCCUGCAAUCAAGGAGUAUUUUCAGCUCCGAAGAUGGUGUUGUGUGUCAGAUGAUUUUGAGGUUGUUAAGAUUGCAAACAGCAUCUGUGAGACCAAUGAGAAUGAUCGUGACAAGGCAUUGCAGAACCUUCAGAAUGAAGUAAGUGGGAAGAGAUACUUUAUUGUGUUGGAUGAUGUAUGGAAUGAAGAUGCUGACAAGUGGAAAAAAUUGAGGACCUGUCUGAAGCAUGGUUGCAAGGGUAGUGCAGUACUGAUGACCACUCGUAAAGAGAAAGUAGCUGAAAUUAUGAAGAUGUGUAUUGAUGAUAGUCAUGAUCUUGGAAAGCUACCUAAAGUAUUUCUGAAGGAAAUAUUUGAGAGUAGAGCAUUCUUUUCGCAAAAGCCAAACGCUGCUGAGCUAGGUGACACAGUUGAAAAGAUUCUGGACAGAUGUGGGGGCUCUCCUUUAGCUGCCAAAGCCUUUGGAUCUAUGCUGAGUACCAAGACUAGCAUGAAAGAAUGGAUGAACAUACUAACCAGAAGCAAUAGCUGCGAUGCGAAGAAAGAAGUUUUACCUAUACUCAAGCUCAGCUAUGAGGACUUGCCAUCACACUUGAAACAGUGCUUUGCUUUUUGUGCAGUCUUUCCAAAAGAUUAUGAGAUUGAUUUGGAAAUUUUAAUCCAGCUAUGGAUGGCACAUGAUUUCAUACCACUUAAAGAAGGCGACAAUCUUGAAAAGGUUGGCAGAGAAAUUUUUAACGAGCUAACUUGGAGGUCAUUUUUUCAAGAUGUCAAGCGAUCCCAUCCUAAGGAAAAACAGAGUGAGCUCCGUUCUAGAACAGUAUGCAAAAUACAUGAUCUUAUGCAUGAUAUUGCCUUGUCUGUUAUGGGAAAAUCUUGUCUUACUAUAGUUGAUAGGCCUGAUCAAAAGGAGCUAUUGUCAGCUGGCGCUACUCACCACCUGUUCUCAUCAUAUCAUUUCACUGGAACUCAUUCGCAUGAUUAUCUAAAGAAACAGUCUCCAGCUCUCCGGACAAUAUUGUAUACAAAUGAUAAAGCUUUUGGUCCAGCCCCAUACUUGUCAAAGCACAGUCAUCUGCGGGCACUGCAACUCUUUAAAUUGAGAAAACUUCCACUCCGACCAAAGCACUUGCAGCACUUGAGGUAUCUUGAUCUCUCAAAUAAUGAGUUUAUCAAAGAGCUUCCCAAGGAAAUAAGCAUAAUGUAUAAUCUACAAACUCUUAAACUUUCCAAUUGCGAGAAACUUGGUCAACUUCCAAAGGAUAUGAAGUAUAUGACAAAUCUCCGCCACCUCUAUACUAAUGGAUGCACAUCAUUGAAGUGCAUGCCUCCAGACCUCUGGCAACUCACUUCUCUACAGACUCUAACAUAUUUUGUGGCGAGUUCUAGUCCUGGUUGCUGUACUAUCAGUGAACUACGGGACUUAAAUCUUGGUGGUGAAUUAGAGCUAUCUUGUCUUGAAUAUGUAACUGAAGAACAUGCUAAAGAAUCCAGUCUUGGAAAUAAGGAGAAACUCACACACUUAUCUCUUGUAUGGGGUGAUGAUUGCAUUGACGAACUGGAUCAGCAUAGGAAUGUGCUUGAUGCUCUUAAACCUCAUGCUGCGCUAGAGUUUCUAGGAAUAUGUUCCUACGGAGGUACUACUUUCCCGACAUGGGUGAAAAGUCUUAUUUUUCUGCAGCAUUUGACCGGGCUCCACCUAGAUGGUUGUACAAUGUGCAAGGAGUUUCCACAAUUCGAUCAAUUUAAGGCCCUUGAAGUUCUCGUUUUGAAAAGGCUGAACAAAUUGCAAAGCCUAUGCAGUAACAGUUCAUCUGCAGCAUUUCCAGCACUAAAGGAUCUCAGAUUAGCAAAUUUGGAAUUGUUUGAGAGAUGGGUGGCAACAGAAGGAGAAAAACUAAAAUUUCCUCUUCUUGAGAAUCUUCGAAUUGAGAACUGCCCAAAGCUGACAACUCUGCCUGAAGCACCAAAAGUCAAAGUUGUACGGCUAGAAGAAGACAAGGCUCAACUAUCCUUAUCAAUAUUAGUAUCCAGGUACAUGUCUUGCUUGUCCGAGUUAUUUGUGAUUGUCCGUGAUACAGAAGCAGCACCAACACCGAAGCUUGAUCGAGAUCCUGAAGUAUCUCUUUCAGAAUUGGCAUUGACUGGUUGCAGCUUUUUGUUCCCAUCAAGUCCAUUGCAGCAUGCAGUUGGGGUGUGGAAAUGGUUUGGUCAGCUUGUGAAGUUGCAUAUAAAUUUUUGUGAUACACUCGUCUACUGGCCUGAAGAAGAGUUCCAGAGCUUGGUAUUACUCAAGAUUCUGCUCAUUGAAAAGUGUAGCAAGCUAAUAGGCCCCACCCAGGUGAAAGGUUGCCGUACUCGAGAAAGAGCUCAAUUCCUGCCAAAUUUAACAAUACUAGCCAUAAGAAAUUGUGGAAACUUAACAGAGCUUUUCGUGCUCCCACCAUCUCUCAGGACUCUGAACAUUGAUAAGUGUGUUAGUCUUGAGUUUAUAGUGGGGCAGGAUAAUGAGUUAGAGAGUCCACAACACUUCAAUACAGCAGCAUCAUUGGAACACUGCAAUGACCUUGCAUCUGAAAGUAUUCCAGAGCCACCAGCUUCACCCAGAAUUAAUCCAUUGCCAUGUCUGGUGUAUUUAAGAUUAUGCAACUGUAACAAGAUUCAUUCUAUGCCAGUGCAGUUGGAUACACUCAAGUGUCUGAAUAUUAAGAAUUGCAGCGGGCUGGAGUCACUGGAUUGUUUGGGCGACCUACCUUUACUGGAGACAUUAUUCCUUCUGAGAUGCAAAAAACUGGCAUCUGUACCAGGUAGUACUGGGAACUACUCAGCCCUUGAGAGGAUCAUAAUUGAAUACUGCCCAGCUGUAAAUAUAAAACCACUUUAUGCACACCUCCAACGACGGCGAGAUAGCCUUGAACACGAGGAUAUAUCUCGUGCGGGUUUAAGCAAUCCUGAUGAAGGGCCUAAACUAUGGGAACCAAAAUCUUGGAAAUAUGUUAUUCCUGGACUGCGGCGAGAGUACUGA